ACUUUCAGUCAGAAUCAACUGCGCUCUGAUACCAAAUGCUAGGAAUCCCUAACAGAUCUGGUAGUCCCAGUGAUAGUUACUAGAAUAACAGAAAGAGAGAGAAGAGAAAGUGAGGGAGAGAGAAUUUUAGGAGGGAAAAACAGUUAACUUUAUUGAUGAAUGAUUGCCCUGAAUAGGCCUUUCCAGCUGUUUAUAUACAAGUCAGCUAGCUAAAACAAUUGCUCCCGCCCAAACGCUUACUUAUUUCUAUACCUAGUUCUUCUACAUGUCACAUAUUGAUAUUAUGAGUAUGAAUGAAAUAUUGAUAUUAUAAUGAUGUUUAUUGAUUUAAGUGUCAAUUACUAGUUUUGGUGUCAAACAAUUAUUUUUUCUAACUACUGCUGUGUGCAUUUGGCCCCUUUCCCCUUUGACAAACAUGCCAUUAAUUAAGAUAAGAAAAUGACUAAAUAGAAAAAACUACAUGUGUCUUCAUAUAACUUUCUUUUCCUUUCAUUAAUUUUUAUUUUUAGCUUAAAUUGUCAACAGACGAACAGAUAAUGCAGGAUCGGAUGUAGACAAGAGAAGGCUUUAGAUUCCAAUACUCCCAAGCAAAUGAAUGAUGCCAAUGGAACUACAAAUUCAAGUCCAAGAGGGCAAGGCAUAGUGUGUAUAAGAAGGGUACAGGUACAACAAAUCAGAAAGAAAACAAAAAAAAUUAGUACAAUUCCAUAGGCUUUAUGGAAUUCUAAUAACAACGAGAUCAAUCACCAUUUCCCAGAUUAUAGAAACUUAACUUAGUGCAAAGAAUGGUUCAUCCUGGAAAAAUAAAAGCACUCAUUUCUUCUAGAUACUCUUAAUCAAGAAACCUUCCAACUCAAACACUAUACCAAGGAUACAUUAGGGUUUCAGAAACCCAACCAAAGAAUGUGCAGAGGAAAGAAGAAUAGAGAGAGUUUAGGUAGAAAAGAAAAAUGAGAAUUCGUUAGAAGAUAAUAGAAAGUAUUAUUCUUGAUAAUUCUGGAAUGAAUUACAAUAAAGGUCACUGAGUUUGUUAGCAGCAAUAAAGACAAUGUGCAGGUGACUGCAUACUGAAUCUCAAUACAAGUGAAAGAACUCAAAUUAAGACAAACACAGCAGUACAAUAAUGAAAAUAGAAUUGCAUGGAUAAGCCUAAACCAAGCAGAAGUGUUAGCAAACCAAGGGUUGGAACAUCCUCUAAGAACCUUCAACUUUUUUUAUUUAAUACGUAUUGAAAGUUUUAUCCCAUGAAACCAAACUAGAAAAAUAAUAAUAACUUUGAAGUUAAACCAAGUGUCAUAAAACAAGAAUUUCCUAACGGGAAAAAUAAAAAUAAAACAACUAAAAUUAGGUGCAAAACUUACAAUGAUUCGGCCUUCAAUUCUCAGAUCCUUCUACUCAAAAAGCCAUAUUUGAAUGCGGGCUUUCUAUGAGAACCACAUAAAAAAGAGAGAGAAGAAGAAGCAAGUAUUAAGCUUCCCAUUAAGGACAACCUAAUUUAAGCAAACCCAAAUGAGUAAAAGAAUAGAAUAAGCGAAGAACUGACUUACACUUUGAAGAAACCUGAAAAUCAGGUUCUGAUGCAGCAUAUCCCAGUAAGCACAAAGUAAAGCAACAAAUGAGAGGAGGAAGGAGACAAAAAAGCCACAAAUAAAAGUUGGGGGUUAAAGACAACAAGAAGCAUAAGUGUUAAACGUACAAUGGGUUGGGUUAUAAUCCUUUGGACCUUGGUACUAGCCAUGUUGAUGAGCUCUGGAGGAUUCCGGAGGCAAAGAGAAAGUUGAGUUGGAGAGAAGUGCAACCCUAGAACGAUUUGAGCCAAGAGGCAAAUUAGUCAUAUUUUUCUAACCAAAUAGAUUUUUUUUUAGCCAAACCAAAUAGAUAUUUUGUUUUGAGUAAUAUGCGGGGGGAUAAAUUACUCUAAGCUCUCUAUGGUUUGUUAAAAUUAGUUACACAAUACAUAUUUUAAAAAAAUAAUUAAAACAUUUAUUUUAAUUUUAACUACAGAAAUAACAUAAUAUAUAGCAAGCCUAGUCUGGUUUGAUCCAAUGGUAAAAAGAAAUAUUACUCACUUAGGAGACUCAGGCUCAAGUCUGAUACCCCCAAUCCCCUACUUAAAAAUAUAUAUAUAUAGAAAAAAUUACAGAUAUUAAAUAAUAAGAUUCUUAAAAUUACAACAGAUUAAAAGAUAUAAAUAUUAAAAACUAAAAAAAAAAUAUAAUUAAUAUGCCCUUAACAAAAUUAUUAAAGGAUUUGAUUUUAAAAGUAUCACUAUGUUUUAAUUGGGCUUUAAAAAGAUAACAACUAAUGAUUAAUUUUAGCACAAUAUAAAAAUGUGUCAAUAAUUUAUCCUGUGAACCAAAAAUGGCUAACAAAUUGAUAUGGACAAAUCACAGUUACAUUCUUUUUUUCCUUUUUUGAAUAAGUUAAGUUGUUGAAUAUUGGCUUAUUAAUAAUUUGAUUAUCUUAUUUUCUUUUUAAAAAAAAAAAUCAUAGCUUCUUUAUCACUUACAUAUAGAUCAUUUCAUUCCGUUCUUUUUUUUAAGGCUCCUUCUGUUUCCUAGGAAAUAUUUUUCAAGAAAAUGUUUUCUACAUUUGUUGGUAUUUGAGGCACUCAAAAAAAUUAGUCUCACAUAAAAUAUUUUUCUAGUUAAAAGAAAAAUUAACUUAUUUUACAGAAAAUGACUUCCUCUUUUGAGAAUCUUAUUAACACCUUUAUAUAUAAAAUUGUCAAUAUAUUUUAUUUUUUAAAUUAAUAAACAAUGAAAAAUAAGUCAUUUUAUUAGAAAUUUUUUCAAUGAAAACAUUUUCCACCGGAAAAUAUUUUUCAAAUGCAAGUUAUGUUCCACAAACAAACGGCGCCUUAAUUUUGCGAUUAGAAAACCCUAAAAAUAACAAAAGUGUUUUUACUUAAAAUUCCUAAAACCAUUUGAAUUCACAAAUAAAUGUUUGAUUAAUACAAGUGCCAGUAAAUACUUUGCAUACUGAAACCCAUAAAAUUCGGAUAGCUUCAUACAUUCGUCACUCUUUUUAAUUAUAAACAAAGAUUCACACAAACUUUAAGCACAAAACUGAACAGGAGCUGAGACAUAAAAGAACGAAAUAAAAGAAUAAAGUGAAGUUUUUGUAUUUGAUUGCCAAUCAUUUUUUGCAUGCUAUGGUAUCUAUUCAUGCAGUAAACCAAAGAGAUGUUACUGAGGAAAAGGACAGUUAGAAGGAAGAAUAAAUUUAAAAGUCACCUUCAUCAUGAAGGAAUGAAGACAUGAAGCUAAAGAAAAAUGUUUUAUAAAGCUCAUUUUUACAUUUAAGUCAUUACUUUUCAUCCAUUUUCUCAAAGCAUUUUUUUAUUUCUAUCUUUCUUCUUUUCAAAUCACACUCUAAGAAAACAGAUUUUUUGUGGGGAAAGUUUUCCACAUUAUAUCUUGAAUUACACCACUAUAAAAAUUUGUAGUGAAUAUAAAAUUAGUCACAACGUUGCCAUUAGAAGUGUGAAACAAAAGAUCACAGUGGUGAAAUUAUUUCACCACAAAAGCUAUAUUUUCUAUGGGGAAAUAUGAUCCAUUAAAAAUAUAGUUUAUUAGAGAAAAGUUUUCCCACUAAAAAUAAAACUUUUGCAGCGAAAAUCUUCCCCACUAAAAGAUAUGACUUUUGCAGCAAAACUUUUCUUCAUUAAAAGUUUGUCGAUUUGUGGGAAAUUUUUCCCCACUAAAGCAUAUCAUUAUAAUAAAAUAGUUACAAUUGAUUUAGUCAUAGGAGUUUGCUUACAUAUAAUUUAGUAGUUGCCUAUUUAUUAAUACUCAUUUUAUUAAAUCAAUUGAUUAAUAUGAGAAAUAAUAGAUCACCUUAAAAGUAUAUGGUUUCCAUUAUAAAAGAUAUGGAUAUUAAUGUACAAAGAUUUGGGACGACUCCAACCCCUGACUAUAAAAGAUCUCAAUAUGAGGGUUACAAUGAUUCAGUUGAGUUUUGAGUCAACAAUAGCACCUCUAUGGAUGCACUAGUUCUGAUGUGAUAACCAUCUGUCAGAAGUUGACAUUCAGAAUAGACAAAAGCAAGAAAAUUCUCUUAGAACAAUGAGUAAUAUUCUGGCCUCCACCUCUGUUUGUCUUGUCCAGAUGUUCAAACAGAAGCAUUUGUCAAUAUGAAAUACACCAACUUCCAUGCACAUAGUCCAAAAAAUAAAUGAUGCUUUAGGUUCAUUAGUUAGCUAUUGUGUUAAGCGUAAUUGCCCCAAAAAACAAGUGAGCAAAGACAGCUUUCUUAGAAUCUAUGUUUUGGAUUUUUACAAGGUUCCUUUUAACUUCAUCUAUAUUUUAUAGUCAUUUCUUAUUUGUUUUCUUUUGCAUCGAAUUGGAACCUGCAGGUUCAAGUUUUUGCUCUUUCUCAUUGGUAAUCAACUCAUUUUUCAUACUUUUCAUUGAAUUUGCUGUCUUUCAAGUAAAGAAUCCAUGUUAAUCUCAUCAGAAAUGGUAAAUAAAACAUGUCAAGCUCCAAUGGGAUUUUGGCAUUAUCAAUUUAACCAUCAAACUGAAAAAAGAAAAAUCAAAAGGAAUUUUCUUGAUCUAAGACUAUAUAGACACAUGGGUACCUAUUACCUAAACUAAUCUUGUGUUCCUAAACUGAUAAAUUUUGAAUUAAAAAAAAAUCAAAACCAUGGAAUAAUGUGUGUUUUAUAGAUCAUUGUAAUUCAAGGGUGGAUGUUAUUUUUUUGUAAUUGACAGUCAAAAGAAUAUAAUUAUAAUAAAUUGAACUCAAAUAAUUUCAUAAAUCAAUGAAGCAUGUCUGUCAGAUUUGUUUAAAAAUUGUACCACUUCAAAAAUUCAACAUAUCAAUAUAAAUAUAAAUAUAUUAAUUAGGAUAAUAAGAUAAAAUAGAAGUUGCAAUUGCUUACUUAUUGGAACCAGAAUAUUUAGACUUACUAUGAGGCUGGAGAUUAAAGUAGCAGAUGUGUCGAAAACAACUAAUCUGAGAGUUUCUUGAUCCCCCAAAUGCAGACACUAGCUAACAAUUAUAUUAUUAAAUCCACAUGAUUCCAUUGCUACAUGGAACUUUUGUUCCUGGUGCACACCAGGAACUGGUGUCAGUUCCUGGUAUGCACCAGGAAUUAGAAACUGAGACCAGUUCCUGAUGCACGAUCAGGGACUGAUAUCAUUCCCUGGUAUCCACCAAGAACUGAGAUUCAGUUCCUGGUCCAUACCAGUUUUCUAUACACAGAUUUGGUGAUACAAGUUUUUAGACAUACAUAUUGAAGGCAAAUUUACUUGGCACUUUGACAAUCAGCUCAUAGGAUUUUACUACUUAGGAGUAGAAAUAAAUGUGGGAAUUUUUCUUAAUGUUAUCCUCUAUCUACAGCUAGACAAAAAAUAAAUAAGAAAAUGAAAAAUAAAAAGUAUAAUGGGUGCCUUUACACUAUCUCAACUGUCAAUAAUCAUAUACCUAAUCAUUUGAUAGUCUUUAAAACUGUGUAUUCCUUCUGUAUAGAACUAUAUCAGCAGCUUGUAAGUGGGAUUUCUUCACUCUCUCCGUUAUCUUCGAUUCAUGAAUUUAGAAUGACAAUAAUUUCAGUUCCACCAGGAACUGCUCUAACAAUCCAUCACUUAGGGGACAUUGAGAAUUAUUCAAAAACAAUUGGGGGCUACGAGAAUCCAUCACCCCUAAGAUUAUUGAGCUAAAAUAAAAUAUCGAAAAUCAAACCCACAAUAUAUUGUGCCUCCAACCUUAUCGAGCAUUAUAGGUUCUUUUGAACUUUAUAGAAAAUCAAAACAAGACCUCCAACAGUGAAUUUCAUUAAUCUUCCAACAGUCAUUGGUUUGUUAACAUCAUCUAUGGACAAAUUCUCACAACAAAUAAAAGAAAAAUAGAAGUGAGAUAUCAAACCUGGUUGCAAUCGGGCGAAGGAAGAAGAAUGGGCGCCGCAGGUCCUCCAAGAUCAACUACUCGUCAAUCUGGUGUUUGGGGCGAUGGAGAUUGUGCUUUACCAACAAGCAAUAUAGAGAGUGGAGAGGAACUUGACUCGCACGAUAUGGUCCUCCAAACCUUCGUUUUCAGUUCAAGACCCGAGUAACUUCAAUUUAUUUAUUUAUUUUUC
rnacentral:lncRNA from 1 species